CUUGUUUGGAAAUGACUGGGUCGGGACUGAUGGAGGAAGCCGUCUAGACGAUGUUCCUGCAAAGAGUCUCACUGUGUUCAGUGCAGGUCCCGAGAAACAGAUGCAGCUCUCGAGCUCUUCCUCUGAUGGAUCCAAGCUGUCAGUCAGUUGGAGAGCAAGAGCAGGAGUGAAGCAUUUCUGUUGCAUUGCUAUUCGUUGGACGAAUGGGAGACUGCAGCAUCCACACAGGGUACCAAUGCAGCGACGGCACAGAGCCUGCAGUAAUUGUGUGAGCGCUUAUAUUGAAUCUACUGUUUAAGCACUGACAUGCGUUAUGCAUGACACAUUGAAGACCUGAAGCGUAUACAGAAGACAGCCACAGCCCAGAGUCUGGGAGAGCGUCUGUUUCACAGGAACAAUUCACAGCUGAGCCCCUGUGUAUGGAGCUCCAACUGUGUACCUGGGACUUCUCCAAAUCACCCUCCAAACCAUCUCACAUUGUUUGUUGAGAUGUUAGAUUGUGCAAUGUGCCAUUUGGAAGC